UCUAUCGAGUUAUAAUUAUAAAUAGAAUAGGAAAGCUGUGACAUAUUUGGAGGCUCGUUUAUCUAGUUACUUGACUGAGUCUUGGAAGACAUUAGGCAGAACUGCGGUUCGCCAUUGUGAAAAGGUCAAGGACCAAGAAAGUCGUGAAGAGUGUGCGCUCACGUGCAACGGCGGGAAAAAACUAAGUCAAUCAGCCGAGACGAAACCAGGUCAAACAUAGUGAUAAAACUAUUAGUGUUGUUUAUAUUGUAUACUAGAGAUAAACAAAAUGGCAGAGAGAUUAACACAGUUAAUAGCCGCUGGAAAAGAGAUGGGAUUGUCAAGGACAGCUCUACAUAAGUGGGUGAAAGAAAGAGAAGUCAAGCUGGAAAAGAAAGAAAAAGAAGACAGAGAGCGAGAUGAAAGAGCUAAAGAGAGAGAAGUGAGAGCUAAAGAGAAAGAAGCUGAUGUAGAAAUACACAAAUUGAGAGUUAGAGAGUUGGAGCUUAGGGAUACAAAAGGAGAAAUCAAAGAGCAUAUAAAACCUGUAUGGAAGCCAAAGUUGCCACCUUUCAAUGAGAACGUGGAUCAGAUGGAUGCAUAUUUGGCGAGAUUUGAAGUGCAUGCUCAAGCUACAGAUAUACCUAAAACUCAAUGGGGAAGUCAUCUUUACACAUUGUUACAGGGAAUAGCACUGCAAGCUUGUAUCAACUUUUCUAAGAAAGAUUUAGAGGAAUAUGACAAGGUGAAAGAAGUAUUGAUGAAAAGAUACAACUUGACAGAUGAUGGGUAUAGAGAGAAGUUCCAUAAAGCUAAACCAGAGAGAAACCAGCCAUUCCAUGAAUUUGUUGAGGACAUUACAAGAUACUUAAUGCGUUGGGUAGAAUUGUCUAAUACUGAAAAGACAUUCGAAAGUCUCAUUGAUUUGUUCAUCAGAGACAAGAUCCUCACAUCAUGCAACCCUCAGUAGGUGGCUUUUCUACAUGAAAGGAAACCGAAAGAUGUGCCAACAGCUGUAAAGUUGUGUCAGCAAUAUAUUACUGCACAUCCAGAGCAGACAAUUCAGAGAGAGGAAGACUUGAUAACUAGCAAGUUUGCAUUUGCUGCAAAGACCAAUGAUAACAGAACUCGCUUUAAACAAGAAUGGAGACAGGACCGUCUGCAGAAAAGAAGUGUGGGUGAAAAAAGAAAAUGUUUUAAGUGUUUCAAAACGGGACAUUUAGCAGCCCAAUGUAGAAACAAAAGCCCGCUAAGACGAAAUGAGACUAUGGGUUCAAGCAGAAGUAAGGAGUUUAAAACCAGCAAUAGGGGAAGACCGACUGGACAUCCAUACAUUAACAUUACGACUGUGUCGACCCCCGCGCUCAGAGAGAAAAACGUCCUAACGUCUUUUUGUUCAAACGAUUCUUGAGAAGAAAAAAGAAAACUCUCCUCUAGAGGAUCGAUGUUUCAGCUAUCGAUUGACUCGCUGGAUGACAUUGACAAUGAGUAACAGUUCAUCUGAGUGUGUAGCUUCAAAGUGGAAGUUGCAAACUCAUCAUCAAGUCAAAAACCUGGAACAUGCCUGAAUGUCGACGAGAUCAAACCAAGUUAGUCGUCUUCCUGGUUGUGAUGGUUGUCAUUGAAACGGCUGUCAUUUUCAGCGUAAUGCACAUGGAACACAAGAAAGCAGAAAAUGCUGCUAAUAAGAAACGAGCAGAGAGACAAUUAGAAUUGCUGAAAUGUCCAGGAAACAGAACUAAAUGUAGAGUCCGUACAAAGCGUAUUAUUUCACAGUCUGGCACCGUAUACAUCAACAACUGAUUAGAGUAUAACAAACUGAUUCAUUAAAUAAAACAGGUUACAUUUUUGUGAUGUAGAGAAUUAAAUCAAUGACACAUAGCAGGAUAAUAGGAUAUUCAAUGAUAGCACAAAGGGUACUAGCAAUAGUAUAAGUAUAUAUGGGUCAUCUGUUUGUUCUGCACUGUUUGCAGUCAUUUGAUUUUAGAGUUUUAUGUGCUUGUCUAUAAACGCAUUUACAUAUAGACUUACUUACAAUUUAAAAGUACAAAUACAUGUGGUAAUGGGUGCCCGCAGGCAUUUUUGCAGGAGAUGCAAGUUGUCACCUAUCUCUCAAAGUCGUCGCUUCAAUUUUCUUGAUAUGUAGAAUAUUACUACCUAUGCGAUAUUAAGUGCACUGUAAAUAGAAAAACAACAACUAAAAAUGUAAACAAAGUAUUUACUGUAAACGCUGUUAAGUUUAUUGUGGCCCGUGCCUUCCAACGGUUGAUCAAACAAAAACUGAAAUUUUGACUGUGGCUGCCGACACUAUCAAAAGUUAACUACUGAAUUGCUUCCCGUCAUGACGGACCAGCUGGUGAUGAACGCUUACCGCGCAGUUCUCAUAUUCUUUAUGUUGCAGCUCUUUCAUCGUCUUAGGUUGAACUGAGCGUUAUUAUUGCUUGAAAAACGAGACGUAAUGAAGAAACUAACCAAUCACGAUAGGAAGUGUAAAAGCCCUGUUCUGUAAUAACUCCCUAAAUCGAAACAUGUAGUUUUGGCUCGAUGUCGGCGUGUCUGUCGACUGCCAAUUCUCGGCAGCACCAACUAAGUACCCGGUACCACAUUUGUCUGCCAACAGUCUAGCCUUCCCCAAGUUAAGCGGUUAUGUUGGACUGACUGCAACAUCAGAUGAAUAAUUGACAACAAUUAAAACACAAUCAGUAAUCAGUGCCUUCUUCUCAUGUGCGAAUGGAUUCGUAUUUCUCAGUUCGUGUGUCUCCCACAAAAGAGGUAACUUUACUCUCGCUUGGGACUAUUACGGAAGAAAUUGCCUUCUUGAUGACACCAACAGCAUUACAUAUACCUGAAACGUCAUUCAGGUCAUUAAUAACAAAGUUAAGUCACAGUUCUGAAUGCUAGGCAUUACAGCCAUGGUAGAUUUGGUUUAGUUGUUUGUCCAAAUCUAGAUUGUACAUAAUGUAUUCGCUGACAACGACGUUAGACACAGGCAUGCAUCUCUCUGAACAACAGGGACAAAACGAAUGAAGUCUUCUCGACUACAAUCGCAAUCAACAAACCGAAUGAUCAAAGACAUCAGCUUAAUGUCUGCAGUGUCUGCACCAAAACGCCCAACAGUUAAUUCACAAUGUUGCUGCUUCUAUUUUUAUGUUUUGCUGCUGCCAGUGCUCCGUUGAUAAAAAUUAACAUGUUAACUAAAACAAUGACACAUCAAGAGCUUUCUUAUUUCUCUUCUAUCGUAAACUGGUAGACAUGUUUUAACUGUUAUUUUAUCGAGCACACCUCCGCAAGACGUAAAUACAUAUAUCAAGAUGACUGCACUCUUCACUUGUUUAUUGAAACUUUCAUAUUUAUCACAAUGAAAGAAGGGGCAGUAUUUUUCCUCCAAGGAUAAAAAAGGUUAUCGUAUUCUAGGCCUUAACUAAAUAUAAUAAUAACUAUAAUUAUGUGCAAAUGAAAACAAAUCAUCAGGAAUAACUUCUUGUAGAAUAUUUGACACUACUAUUGUGCAAUCCUAUACUAAAGCGUUCAUGGUUUCAGGGGAGGUAUGUGAAUAUAUUACUUUGUUGAUAUUUUGGUAUGAUAGUUACAUCCCUUUGUUUAUGUACUCCCAGGUUAUGAAUGUAAAUUGUCUUGCACGUGAUGUGAACUGAAUGGUUGAGUCUUCCUUGAAUGUGAGAGAGAGUGUGUUAGUCAGUGAAGUCUUGUUCCCGGUCCAGGAAGGUAGGUCAGUUGCUUCCAGGACUGGUGUUUGUGUAAUAAUAUUUCCUGAGAGAGGUGCUUUACUGGAUAUUAAAGUUAUUAUUUUCAUGAA